ACGUCACUUGUGAUCUCUGUAAUAAAAUAUAGCAGAGAGUGAGUCGCUAGCUCAAUUAGUAAUAACAAUUAACUACAUAUUUUUAUAAUAAUAAUAAAAUAUAAUGAAAUAAACACCCUUUUCAGAAAUGGUAACAGUAAUCAAUCUUGUUUGUUUCAUAUAAGCAUAACUCAAUUAACAAUUCGGUAAUAAAAUCAAUAAAAAUUUACUAAUGAGCUCACUCAUUGCUAAGAAGGACUAAAUUUCCAAUGAUCUCUCAUCACCACCACCCCAUGGUUCUUAAAUUACUCGCAGCACCCCAGAUUUACAAGACUAUGUUCAGAUUGUUCAAUGUUUAAGUUGAUCAUGAAUAACUUUUCCCUAUAGUCAAUUAUUUGUAGAGACAACAAAGAGACCAAUGGAGUAUGAAGAAUGCAUGACUUAAGCUGAGAGAACUCAAGUCACUACUCAAAAGGUUGAAUAACAGAGAAUUAAGGAAUGUGAGGCAACAAAUUGACAAUGCUAGGACAAAACUGAAAGUAAUCCAAUAGCAAUUGACUAGGCAAUGUAGUGAUGUGAUGAUCAAUGUAGAAAAGACCCUCCUCCAGAAACUAGAGAAGUGGUCAGAACAUAUUGAAGUAAAAAUCUACUGCAAGAUGAAUUAAGCUUGGAGAUUCCAACACCAAGUAUUUUCUCUGUUGUUAUUAAGGAAAGGACCUAGAGAAAACAAAUAUCUGAAAGUAGGUCAUUAUCAAGAACAAAUCUCACCACACCUGGAGAAAUACAAAGAGAAAUUAUAGAUUUCUACACGAGUCUUGUGAUUUUAGUAUACGUUGUAUUACCAGUAAUAGACAAAUUAGUUAUGAGAAGGAAACCUACACGAAAAUAUAAGAGUAGGAAACAGACCUAUGUACUGAAGUCAUUGGGCGCAUCUCUAUAUCCUACCAACAAGCAUUAUGAAAGUUGUUGAUGCCUAUUGUAGGAGAUAUGUGUGUCAGAGACAAAUAAGAUGACCAAAGCUUUAGUGACUUGGGAGAAGGUAUGUUAACCUAAGGUGUGUCGUUUACUCAAUCUUACUAGCCUAACAUUGUGGAAUAAGGGUGCAAUUGCUACAAAGUGUUGGGACUAUGCCAACAAGCAUGAUCGACAAAGAUUAGAUGGGUUCACUUAUAAUAUAUCAAAAAUCAAGUUAUCCUCACAAUGCCAAUGCCCAUCCCUCAAUAGGCAAUUGAGAUGGUCAAACAAAUUAUUGGUACCAGAUAGAUACUCAAAGAUGGCCCAGUAGCCAGAAGACGAGGCAUAAACAUGAUUGGUCUAAUCUAUUUUCAACUACUGAACAUAACUGAAACAAGUAAGGUGGAAAUGCAUGAUGUUCCAGAAUGAUGCAAAGCCAAAAGCUAAGUUACCACGUGGUUACACUUUCAUGGGAGGAUGCUAACAACUGACAGAUUGAUCAAAUGGAGAAUAAACGUGGAGCCAAAGUGCGGCCUUUAUAGAAUCACCGGUGAAAGUAGAGACCCUUUAUUCUUCUCAUGCAGUUAUAAUCUUAACAUAUCGUCAAGACUCAUGCAAUGGAUUAGAAGAUCAAUGGUUACUUCCAAAGCCUGGGAACUACAUUUAGAUUGGGCAACUCAUAAUCGAAAAAGGAGAUCACACACUGUCAAGCUUUUAGAAUGGUUUUCACUAAAGCAAUUAAUGCCAUUUGGAUAGAGAGGAACUUGAGGAUUUUCGAAAAGAGGAGCAGGUAUGUAGAGAGUACAGUCGGGGAACUAGUUUGCAAUGUUAGAGCUACCAAUGGAAAUCAACUCCUAUUCCAAGAACUCCUAUUUUAAUCAAUUGAGCUAGACAUUAAGAUUAGGCUAUGUAAAUAACUAUGUAUACUGAUUUAGAUAACUAGUUUGAGAUUUAAUCAUAUAUAAUCAAAAUGUAUAUAUAUACAUAUAUAUAUGACUGAAUUUCUACGAAAAAUAUCACUGAGAAAUAGUUUUUGACUCAACUCCAAAGGGUCAAGACUACCAUAAUCGACAUAGUUUAGUUAAUAUUUUCAAAACACAUGAACUUUCAAAAAUAAUUUGAAUUAUAUUGAAUCACUUCAGAACAAGUUUAGGUAAAAACAACACUAUAACUAAGAUAUUAGUAAUAUAUACGAUAUCAACAAAAAAAAAAGAUAAAGAUCCAAAUGAUUAAUUGAAAUCCAAGAGGUGAUAUAAAUAUUUCAACAAAAAGCACAUAAUAACAUAUGCAAUUUGUCCAAAGAAGUUGAUAAUCAGAGGCAAUACAUGCAGGAAAAAAACAUGUUCAUCCAUGAGGAAGCCCCGAAACUAAAAGCUAAGCUAAACACAGUAAAACCUUUUUAAACAAGGCAAUAACUCUAGAAUUGUUAGUUGAUUCACUAUAUUAGAGAUAAGUAGCUACAAAAAGAGAGGCAAACCUGCAAUUUCAUCCCCUUCAUAUACAUUUAGUUUGAAAAUAUGGAUCCCUACACGAAAAUAUAAAAAACAGAAGCGGUUAGUGAUGUAAAAAGGGGGGGGGGGGGGGCGGUACUCUAAAGUAAAAAAAAAAGUGAUUUGAGGAAAAAAGGAAUUAUCCUUUGAAUGCAUAAAAGAAAAGUAGGGAACGAAAUAAAUUAUGAAGGAAAGAUAAAAAUAAUAAAUUUUAAGUACUUGAUAAGCUACUUGACCUUUACUGGCUAUUAUCUUCAAGUACCGACAAAUAAUUUUCACUAAAAGUGAUUUUCAUUGUAGUGAUAAGACUGCUACUUUGACUGUUUUCAAACAUGAUAUACAUAAUGUAGAAGAGCUAUUAACAUGUAAUUGCCUUACUAUUAUGAGGUUACAUCACAAGCCAAUAUCAUCACCAUCACUUGUUGUAUCAGCUUCAUUGUCAUUAGUACCAUUAUUACCUCCAUUCUCCUCAUGAUCACUGAUGUACUCUAUCAUAGUUUCAUCCUCUUGGUCAGAAUUUUUUUC
rnacentral:lncRNA from 1 species